rnacentral:misc_RNA from 1 species
AAAGUCGUAACAAGGUAACCGUAGGUGAACCUGCGGUUGGAUCAUUAAAAAGAUCUAGCCCGAACUCGGACGGGAUUUGUCUUCGGAUGGUCUCAUUCGAUGCCGGGUUUCUCACCUAAAAAGUGAGUUCAACAUUAUGUGAACUGUUCUGUCUCUGGCGGUGGGGUGGCCUAAAACGUCAUCUGUCAGCACCCGGGUUCUCUCGGUGUGCCGUGGACAAGCCGUCAAUGGUGUAUGUUUCAUACAAACUUUUGUUUUCAUUAAUCUGUCUGACAUAUCUUUGUAUCUAAAAUAUACAAAAACAACUUUUGGCAACGGAUCUCUUGGCUCCC